GUGCUCGCUUCGGCAGCACAUAUACUAAGAUUCGAACGAUACAGAGAAGAUUAGCAUGGUCCCUGUGCAAGGAUGACACGCAAAUUUGUGUAGCGUUCCAUAUUUUU
ensembl:snRNA U6 U6 spliceosomal RNA